CUCGGGUGUGUGUGCCCUUCAUAACACCUCGUCCUUGAGUGCAGGUGGGCCUGCGUUAAUUAGGCGAGCCCUUGUGAGAGAGGUCUAAAGAUAGAAGACAUGAAAGAGAUUCAGAGCUGCAGAAGAUGCUCUCCUGUUGUUCUGCAAGGGGCAGACUGCCAUAUGUGAGAGGCUCUAUGGAGAGGCCACACAGGAAGCAAGGACCUGCAUGCAGCCUCCAGGAGCUGAGAGCGGUCCCUGGCCAAAAGCUGGCAAGGAAUUGGAGACCUCAGUCCUACUGCCAUAAGGACAUGCAUCCUGCCAACAACCAGGGAUCUUGGAAUGAGAACAUAAGCCUCAGAUGAGAUGGCAGUCCCAGGUGACACCUUGAUUUCAGCCUGAGAGUUGAAAUUAAUUCUGACACAGGAAGCAAAAGUGGAAGUGAGAAACUAAUAAAGAGAUGACUGCAGUAUUCCAUGUGAGAGAUGAAGUUGAUGUGGACCAGGGCAAAUGGUGGAAGUGCUGGGAGGUGUAAGAUACCAAAUAUACUUUGAAGGAGUCUCAGCUUCAUCCGCCUUAUCCAUGUCCCGGCCAUCUUUGCUGACACAAUCCUCUCUUCACUCACCCCCAACACCUAGACCCCAGGUCAGAG
rnacentral:lncRNA from 1 species